rnacentral:lncRNA from 1 species
GAAGACGCGCGGGGCUCCUGGGCCUCCUGCUUGGCCUCCGCGCUGCUAGAUCCCCCGGGAGUUGAUGUGGCCGGCGCUGGACCCAAGCCUCGCCUGGGUGGACAAAGUGGCCCCCGGCCCCCCAUCAAAGCCCGCGUGGGCCCCAUCCCCCGAGGGCAGUCCCAGGCCCAGCGCGGACACUGGGCGCCUGGGGCGGCGCAGAUACAGAGUAGAGGCGGCGACUGUUGCUCCCGAGCUCCGCGCUCCGGAUACAAUGUGUCUGGCGCCUCCGACCCGCCCGCGCGGCGUCUAGACAAUCUCAGAGAAAACCCCUGUGCGCCGAUUUUGCACUACAGAUUAGCGAUUUUCUCCUGUAGCAAAGCUACUAGCAGCCAAUUUCCAUGCAUUUGAGAGGCAAAAAGACAAAAUAAAACAAAACGUGGAUUGGGUUUUGCGAGGUCCCUGCUGGGUCUCUCGGCGCGAGGAGAUCACGCCGGUUAUGGCCGGCCGGCCGACUGAGGGCACCCCGGGUAACCCCCGCGACCAGCCGGGGCGUGUCCUGCGGGACCCAGUUAGUGUGUGUUGA